UACGUAGGGAGCAAGCGUUGUUCGGAUUUACUGGGCGUAAAGGGCGCGUAGGCGGCAAAUUAAGUCAGCUGUGAAAUCUCCGAGCUUAACUCGGAACGGUCAGCUGAUACUGAUCUGCUAGAGUGCGGAAGGGGCAAUCGGAAUUCUUGGUGUAGCGGUGGAAUGCGUAGAGAUCCGGAGGAAGACCGGUGGCGAAGGCGGCCUGCUGGGCAGUUACUGACACUGAGGCGCGACAGCGUGGGGAGCAAACAGG
rnacentral:rRNA from 1 species